rnacentral:rRNA from 1 species
CCGAAUUGUAAUUUGUAGAGAGUGCUUCGGGCGAGGCCGCGGUCUAAGUCCAUUGGAACAUGGUGUCAUAGAGGGUGAGAAUCCCGUAUGCGACCGUGGCUCGAGCCCAUGUGAAGCCUCUUCGACGAGUCGAGUUGUUUGGGAAUGCAGCUCAAAAUGGGUGGUAAAUUUCAUCUAAAGCUAAAUACUGGCUGGAGACCGAUAGCGCACAAGUAGAGUGAUCGAAAGAUGAAAAGCACUUUGGAAAGAGAGUCAAACAGUACGUGAAAUUGUUGAAAGGGAAGCGCUUGCAACCAGACCUGCCCGUAGGCGAUCAGCCGCUGUUCUCAGCGGUGCACUCGCUCUGCGAUCAGGCCAGCAUCGGUUUCGGCGGUCGGAUAAAGGCCUUGGGAAUGUAGCUCCCCUCCGGGGGAGUCUUAUAGCCCUCGGUGCAAUGCGGCCAGCCGGGACCGAGGACCGCGCUUCGGCUAGGAUGCUGGCGUAAUGGUUGUAAGCGACCCGUCUUGAAACACGGACCAAGGAGUCUAACAUCUAUGCGAGUGUUUGGGUGUCAAACCCAUGCGCGGAAUGAAAGUGAACGGAGGUGAGAACCCUUAAGGGCGCAUCAUCGACCGAUCCAGAUGUCUUCGGAUGGAUUUGAGUAUGAGCAUAGCUGUUGGGACCCGAAAGAUGGUGAACUAUGCCUGAAUAGGGUGAAGCCAGAGGAAACUCUGGUGGAGGCUCGCAGCGGUUCUGACGUGCAAAUCGAUCGUCAAAUUUGGGUAUAGGGGCGAAAGACUAAUCGAACUAUCUAGUAGCUGGUUCCUGCCGAAGUUUCCCUCAGGAUAGCAGUAACGUUUUCAGUUUUAUGAGGUAAAGCGAAUGAUUAGAGGCC